CUGUGGUGUAACUGGUAGCAUACCUCCCUGUGACGGAGUUGGUUCGGGUUCAAAUCUCGGCAGGCGGA
rnacentral:tRNA from 1 species